rnacentral:rRNA from 1 species
UGUAGUCACAUUGUAGUCAUAUGCUUGUCUCAAAGAUUAAGCCAUGCAUGUUUAAGUAUAAGCAAUCUAUACAGUGAAACUGCGAAUGGCUCAUUAAAUCAGUUAUCGUUUAUUUGAUAGUACCUUACUACUUGGAUAACCGUGGUAAUUCUAGAGCUAAUACAUGCUAAAAACCCCGACUUCGGAAGGGGUGUAUUUAUUAGAUAAAAAACCAAUGCUCUUCGGGGCUCCUUGGUGAUUCAUGAUAACUUAACGAAUCGCAUGGCCUUGUGCCGGCGAUGGUCAUCAAAUCUCUGCCCUAUCAACUUCGAUGUAGAUUUUCCAACC